rnacentral:rRNA from 1 species
UACGUAGGGGGCAAGCGUUGUCCGGAAUCACUGGGCGUAAAGGGUGCGUAGGCGGCCUAGCAAGUCCUGUGUGAAAUACCUCGGCUUAACCGGGGAGGGUCAUGGGAAACUGUUAGGCUCGAGUGCCGGAGAGGGCAGUGGAAUUCCAGGUGUAGCGGUGAAAUGCGUAGAUAUCUGGAGGAACAUCAGUGGCGAAGGCGACUGCCUGGACGGUAACUGACGCUGAGGCACGACAGCUGGGGGAGCAAACAGG